rnacentral:sRNA from 1 species
UAGAAAAUCCAAGUAUUUUAGGGUAUCCAUGAGUUCAAAUUCGAUGCCAAGACAUGAUAAUUCUAAAUCAGAUUCAAGUUCAAAUUGAUAGGGAAUGAUAUCAGAUCCUAACAGUGUGGUCGAGUAGAGCAAUCUAGGCAUGGUGCAGUUCUUACUUCAAUUUCAAUGACAACGCAUCAAACAACUAACAACGAGGGCACUGAGCUUAUCUGGUGAACCAAAAUGCUUACAAGGCUAUCUCAUCAUUAUCCCCUAUGCAUAUGCAACAAUCCUAAACGAAACACUCUAGACUCGAUCCUAAAUGCAAUGCAACUACAUGAACACUCUAUUUUUGUGAAAUCAUUUUCUGGAAUUUUUCAAUUUUUUUGGUUUUUCUAUGCCUUAGAUGAAUGCAGACUCAAGAUUAUACAAUGCAACACACACUUCCUGAGCCCUCCCCCAAACUUAAAUCACACAGUCCACUGUGUGACCAAAUUUGGAAGAGAGUACUCAGGACAAAAACACAUCACAAAAACAAAAUAAAAACAAGAGAUGGUAUAUUACAAUGGUGGAGUGAGGUGCAUACCUCAGUGGAAGAAGGAGCGGAGUUGGUCGUCAAUAGCUGUCUGUGAUUGCUCCCAGGCCAUCGAAGAAUCUCCCUGUUGUGUCCCAGCUUCCCCCUGGGGGUACUCGACCUCUGCUCCUUCGUCGCGGCCAGCACCGCUGUGAUGAUACUCGACCUCUCUUCUUCUGCUGCGGCCACCACCGCGGUCGCGUAAGCUACGGGAGUGGAGAAGUCGUGACUGCAUCAUUCGCUAUACUCGACAAUAUCGUCAUUCGGUCUUUAUAGGGUGUGGUCGAGUGAUUUCCUGGUGUGAAGACGCCAGAACAAUGUCGAGUUUGAUUGCUUUGUGGUCGAGUGUAUUGCUGUUCCUUCAAAGCCAGAAUCUAUUUCCAUCAACUCUUCAUAUUUAUCUCCUGAAAACACUAACAAGAUGCAUCAAAAACAACAAGGAAAAUGAAAGAUAUGUGCAAAGAUAGGCUUGGGACUUCCUCCCAAGUGAGCUUGUUUUAGGUCUCUAGCUUGACUCUUCAUACUCAUUAGGCGUUUAAAGGCUCCUCCAAAGGAACAGAGGUUCCUUCUGGAAUAAACUGAUCUAUCAUGUAUUUCUUGAGCCGCUGGCCAUUGACUGUGAAGUCUCCAUUCUUUCCAGCUAGAGUGAUAGCACCAUAAGGUCGGACUGCAGUAACAGAGAAAGGACCAGACCAUCUAGACUUGAGCUUGCCUGGAAAAAGCCUCAGGCGAGAGUUGAACAGCAACACUUGAUCACCAACCUUAAAAUCUCUUGAGACUAUCUUCUUAUCAUGGAAAGACUUGGUUCGCUCCUUGUAGAUUUUGGAACUCUCAUAGGCUUCUAAGCGAAUCUCGUUGAGAUCGUUCAGUUGGAUCAACCGCUUCUCCUCGGCGGUUUUAAUGUCGAAGUUCAGGAGUUUAACUGCCCACAUGGCUUUAUACUCGAGUUCAACAGGCAAAUGACAGGAUUUUCCAUAAAGGAGGUUGAAAGGAGUCGUGCCAAUAGGGGUCUUGAAGGCUGUUCUGUAAGCCCAUAGUGCGUCAUCGAGCUUAGCAGACCAAUCUUUCCUUGUACUUCCCACAAUUUUCUCUAAAAUUGCUUUUAUCUCCCUGUUGGAGAUUUCCACCUGCCCGCUCGUCUGUGGAUGAUAAGGAGUGGCGACCUUGUGCUUUACUCCAUGCUUCUUCAAAAGGUUCUCAAAAACCUUGUUGAUAAAAUGUUUCCCUCCGUCACUGAUCAUAAUUCUCGGGACUCCAAAUCUAGGAAAGAUAAUUGUCUUGAACAGCUUUAGCACAACUCUAGCAUCAUUGGUGGGGCUGGCUAUGGCUUCCACCCAUUUUGAUACAUAGUCUACUGCGACCAGUAUGUACUUGUUCCCGUAAGAGGAAGGAAACGGACCCAUAAAAUCAAUUCCCCAAACGUCAAAGAUCUCAACUUCUAAUAUCGGAUUCUGAGGCAUCUCAUUCCUUCUGCUGAUGUUCCCUCUUCUCUGACAUGAAUCACAUUUCGAGAUAAAUUCCUGAGCAUCCUUAAACAUUGAUGGCCACCAAAAACCAGCUUGCAGGAUUUUCGACACUGUCUUGAACGUUGCGAAGUGGCCACCAUAGGCAGACCCAUGGCAAUGCAAUAGGAUGCCUUCGAUUUCGUCUUCUGAGACGCAUCUCCUGUAGAUCUUAUCUUUGCAGAGUGUGUAGAGAUAAGGUUCGUCCCAGUAGAAAUGGUUAAUGUCCUUGAAGAACUUCUUCUUCUCAUAGCUCGACAGAUUCGGAGGCUCCUCACCACUAACCAAGUAGUUGACGUGAUCAGCAUACCACGGAAGCUUUUCUUCAAUUGUACAUACUUGAUCGAGUGAUUUCCGAAUUUGUGCACUCUCGUUAAGUUGCUGAAUUGCCAUUAGCUGUUCUUCUGGCAUGGAGUCGUCAAUAGGGACCUCGUCUUCAAUCCUCAUCCUAGACAGAUGAUCAGCUACACCGUUUUCAAUUCCCUUCUUAUCAACUAUCUCCAUAUCAAACUCUUGGAGCAAUAAGAUCCAUCUCAACAGCCUAGGUUUGGUAUCUUUCUUCGCGUAUAUAUGCCUCAGAGCAGCAUGAUCAGUGUAGACUGUCACUUUAGAACCCACUAGGUAGCUUCUAAAUUUUUCAAAUGCAAAUACCACAGCUAGCAGUUCCUUCUCUGUAGUGGCAUACCUUACUUGUGCAUCAUCCAUCGUUCUGCUCGCGUAGUAGAUCACAUGCAGCUUUUUAUCAAUCCGCUGGCCCAAGACUGCUCCUACUGCGUAAUCUGAAGCAUUGCACAUGAUCUCGAAUGGGAAGUCCCAGUUUGGAGCUUGGACUAUUGGUGCAGUGAUCAAAGCUUCCUUGAUCAACUUAAAGGCUGUCAAACAUUCGUCAUCAAAUGCAAACUCGGUUUCCUUGCACAGUAGUCUGGUGAGCGGUCUUGCCAACUUGGAGAAAUCUUUGAUGAAUCUUCUGUAAAAUCCUGCAUGUCCAAGAAAACUCCUGAUGUCUUUGACAGUUUUGGGUGGCUGUAACUGCAUCAUCACGUCAACCUUAGCCUUAUCAACCUCUAUUCCCUCUUCAGAAAUUUUGUGGCCCAAAACGAUGCCUUCUCUAACCAUGAAAUGGCAUUUCUCCCAGUUUAGCACUAGGUUUGUCUCUUCACAUCUUUUAAGUACCCUGCACAGGUUCAACAAACACGAGGAGAAGGAAGAGCCAUACACAGAAAAAUCAUCCAUGAAUACCUCUACCAUCUCCUCUAUCAAAUCCGAGAAAAUAGAAGUCAUACACCGCUGAAAAGUAGCUGGUGCAUUACAGAGACCGAAAGGCAUACGCUUGUAAGCAAAGGUCCCAUAAGGACAAGUGAAAGUGGUUUUUUCUUGGUCAUUUGGGUGAAUAGGGAUUUGAAAAAAUCCGCUAUAACCAUCCAAAAAGCAAUAGUAAGGAUGGUUUGCUAAUCUUUCUAGCAUCUGAUCAAUGAAGGGCAAUGGGAAAUGGUCUUUUCUAGAGGCAGCAUUUAACUUCCUAUAGUCAAUACACAUCCUAUGUCCAGUUGUAGUCCUAGUGGGUAUCAGUUCAUCUUUAGAAUUUUUAACAACUGUCAUACCUCCUUUUUUAGGAACGUAGUGGACUGGAGAUACCCAAGUGCUAUCAGAGAUAGGGUAGAUAACCCCAGCAUCUAAUAGUUUAAGUAUCUCCUUUUUGACAACCUCUUUCAAGUUAGGGUUUAAUCUCCUUUGAGGUUCAAUGCUAGAGUAGGAUUCAUUUUCAAGAUGGAUUCUAUGGGUGCAUAAGGUGGGCGAAAUCCCCUUAAUAUCAUCUAACGAAUAUCCUAUAGCUUUCCUAUACUUCUUGAGCUCGGUUAUCAGCAGGUUUACUUGAUCAGCAGUUAGCCCAUCAUUCACUAUGACAGGAUAAGUAGAGUUUAGUCCAAGAAAAACGUACCUUAGCCCUUUUGGUAGCGGUUUCAAAUCUACUUUGGGUGCCUUGAGUUCAGACCAGUCAUCGGAUACUAAGUUGGCUUCAGAGGGGUUGUUGUGGUCGAGUAGCUCGGUCGAGUACACAGAAUGGGCUGUUGGUCAAGUGAUGAGGUCGAGUAUAUAUUCCUCCCUUGCUCUUUCACCCAAAUCUUCAUACUCUCCUGGAUUCUCAACUGCUUUGUGUUCAUCUAACAGCUUUUGGUACCCCAAAAUCUCCAAA